CAUUGUAUUAGCCGAUGGCCGUCAUCGACUCAAAUGUACACCACGAACUUACUUGUCGUAUUUGCAUUCACGUCAGAAGAUGAAACAAAUUCUUUUCACAGGUUCUCGAAUCAAUAAAUAUGCGGUUCACCAAUCCCUGACCUUUUACACAACGCUAAAUUGUGCGUUCAGUAAUCGGGGAUUGAGAAUUUAAAAGGGGUGAGAAUCUGCGUGGCACUUCAGAUCGUGAAAGAACCUUUGGAGCGACUGAAUAAAUCUGAAGAACGUAGACGAGGACAACUCGCUUCCAAUCCACUUGACACGGCAUUUUAGCAGUACUUAAAUGGGUGGCGUGUGUUUACUGAGGGGAUAAAUUACGGUGUGAAGCUCGCAAGUGUGUUACGAAUGGGUGCUUUACACUACGACAACAUCGAGUGCCCAGUCGGCGCUUCAACUAAGCGUUUCGAUCCAUUUGACUACGCCGACUCCUUCUGAGCUUGCGCCCGUCGCUGCUUUCAGCAGCCACCAGCA
rnacentral:lncRNA from 1 species